rnacentral:rRNA from 1 species
GACGAACGCUGGCGGCGUGCCUAAUACAUGCAAGUAGAACGCUGAAGGAGGAGCUUGCUUCUCUGGAUGAGUUGCGAACGGGUGAGUAACGCGUAGGUAACCUGCCUGGUAGCGGGGGAUAACUAUUGGAAACGAUAGCUAAUACCGCAUAACAGUAGAUAUCGCAUGAUAUCUACUUGAAAGGUGCAAUUGCAUCACUACCAGAUGGACCUGCGUUGUAUUAGCUAGUUGGUGAGGUAACGGCUCACCAAGGCGACGAUACAUAGCCGACCUGAGAGGGUGAGCGGCCACACUGGGACUGAGACACGGCCCAGACUCCUACGGGAGGCAGCCGUAGGGAAUCUUCGGCAAUGGACGGAAGUCUGACCGAGCAACGCCGCGUGAGUGAAGAAGGUUUUCGGAUCGUAAAGCUCUGUUGUAAGAGAAGAACGAGUGUGAGAGUGGAAAGUUCACACUGUGACGGUAUCUUACCAGAAAGGGACGGCUAACUACGUG